rfam:Oryza glumipatula chromosome 9, whole genome shotgun sequence.
UUAUCCACUGGAGUUCUCCUCAAAGCACUUCAGCAGAUAGCUAGCUAGGCCUCAUUGCAUUGCACCACUGUUGCAUAACUAUGAGCAUGGGGCCAAAAGUUAGCUGCUUAUAGUGAAGUGUUUGGGGAAACUCCGGUUGGCAA